rnacentral:rRNA from 1 species
GACGAACGCUGGCGGCGUGCUUAACACAUGCAAGUCGAACGGAAAGGCCCUGCUUUUGUGGGGUGCUCUAGUGGCGAACGGGUGAGUAACACGUGAGUAACCUUCCCUUGACUUUGGGAUAACUUCAGGAAACUGGGGCUAAUACCGGAUAGGAGCUCCUGCUGCAUGGUGGGGGUUGGAAAGUUUCGGCGGUUGUGGAUGGACUCGCGGCUUAUCAGCUUGUUGGUGGGGUAGUGGCUUACCAAGGCUUUGACGGGUAGCCGGCCUGAGAGGGUGACCGGCAACAUUGGGACUGAGAUACGGCACAGACUCCUACGGGAGGCAGCAGUGGGGAAUAUUGCACAAUGGGCGGAAGCCUGAUGCAGCAACGCCGCGUGCGGGAUGACGGCCUUCGGGUUGUAAACCGCUUUCGCCUGUGACGAAGCGUGAGUGACGGUAAUGGGUAAAGAAGCACCGGCUAACUACGUG